AUGAGCUCAAGUGUUGUUUCAACUAAACCUAGUGUUGAGUCGAAUGAAGUGAAAGAGUUCGACGAAACUAAAGCUGGCGUGAAAGGAAUUAUAGACUCCGAGACGACGAAGAUCCCAGCUAUGUUUGUACACCCUCCAGAGAAUUUUCAGACGAACAGCAUGGAUGAUCAUGAUCUGAGAGUUCCAGUGAUUGAUCUCAAAGGCCUUGACUGGAGCUCGGAGAGGCGAAAAGAAAUCGUUGAUGAAAUAACCAAAGCAGCCGGAGGCGUGGGGCUUCUUUCAGAUAGUGAACCAUGGAAUUCCAAUGUCUGUUAUGGAGGAAGUGCUGAAAGGAGUUCGACGAUUUCAUGAGCAGUCACAGGAAGACAAGGUGGAGUGGCACUCUAACGAUUUUACCCGCAAGGUCAACUUUUACAGCAAUGGGAAUUUGAAUGCGUUGACUACAGCUGAUUGGAGGGAUUCUUUAUCCUGCAAAUUCCUAGAAGACCAAGGUGAAUUGGAAGCAGCAUUGCCUCAAGUCUGCAGGGUGGAAAUAAUCGAGUACAGAAAAUACUCAGUUGCCGGAUUAUUAUCAGAAGCUUUAGGCGUUAGUCGUGAUUACCUAGCAGGCACAGGGUGCUUCAGUUCAUCCGCAACGCAAUUGUUCGGCCACUAUUAUCCAGUUUGCCCGGAGCCUGAUUUAACUCUCGGCGCAACCAAGCACUCUGACUUCUCAUUUCUCACUUUGCUCCUACAAGAUAGUCAUGGUGGCCUCCAAGUUCUUCAUCAAGAUGUUUGGGUUGAUGUGCCCCCAGUGCCGGGAGCUUUGGUUGCCAAUAUGGGUGACUGGAUGCAGAUAAUUAGUAACGACAAAUUUAAGAGUGUGAGGCACAAAGUAUUAGUGACUCGUGCCUCCGAGGGACGUACUUCAGUUGCGUGUUUUUUCAAUGCUGAAGACAAGAGCACAAGAGCAGACCAUAUGGGCCGAUCAAGGAGCUGAUCUCUGAGACCAGUCCCCCAAUUUACAAAGACAUUGAUUACAUGGAAUACAUAACCUAUUAUAGGUUGAACAGACAUGAUCAUAACUCUGUGCUUCUUCAUUUUAGACUCUCGAGUCCAAACCAGCUUGAAACUCAAGCAGCAAACAUUGGGAACUAUCCGCAGUUGGAAGAACGGAACUAGCUAGCAACAGUGGUUCUAAGCCAUCAUCUUGAUCAACACGAGUUCUACGUACAUUUUUUGAGAUUUUUCUUCAUAUUUGAAUGCUUCAAUUGAAUUUUCAAGUGCAGAUUGUU